rnacentral:rRNA from 1 species
AACGCGUUAAGUAGACCGCCUGGGGAGUACGGUCGCAAGAUUAAAACUCAAAUGAAUUGACGGGGGCCCGCACAAGCGGUGGAGCAUGUGGUUUAAUUCGAUGCAACGCGAAGAACCUUACCUACUCUUGACAUCCAGAGAACUUUCCAGAGAUGGAUUGGUGCCUUCGGGAACUCUGAGACAGGUGCUGCAUGGCUGUCGUCAGCUCGUGUUGUGAAAUGUUGGGUUAAGUCCCGCAACGAGCGCAACCCUUAUCCUUGUUUGCCAGCGAGUAAUGUCGGGAACUCCAGGGAGACUGCCGGUGAUAAACCGGAGGAAGGUGGGGACGACGUCAAGUCAUCAUGGCCCUUACGAGUAGGGCUACACACGUGCUACAAUGGCGCAUACAGAGGGCAGCCAACUUGCGAAAGUGAGCGAAUCCCAAAAAGUGCGUCGUAGUCCGGAUUGGAGUCUGCAACUCGACUCCAUGAAGUCGGAAUCGCUAGUAAUCGUGGAUCAGAAUGCCACGGUGAAUACGUUCCCGGGCCUUGUACACACCGCCCGUCACACCAUGGGAGUGGGCUGCAAAAGAAGUAGGUAGUUUAACCUUCGGGGGGACGCUUACCACUUUGUGGUUCAUGACUGGGGUGAAGUCGUAACAAGGUAGCGCUAGGGGAACCUGGCGCUGGAUCACCUCCUUA